AGAGUUUGAUCAUGGCUCAGGACGAACGCUGGCGGCGUGCUUAACACAUGCAAGUCAAGGGGGCCCAGCAAUGGGCAACCGGCGAACGGGUGCGUAACACGUGAGCAACCUACCGAACUGUGGGGGAUAGCCGGCCUAACGGCCGAGUAAUACCGCAUACGCUCUCAGUGAGGCAUUUCAUUGAGAGGAAACCUACGGGACAGAUCGAGGGGCUCGCGGCCUAUCAGCUAGUUGGCGAGGUAACGGCUCACCAAGGCAACGACGGGUAGCUGGUCUGAGAGGACGACCAGCCACACGGGAACUGAGACACGGUCCCGACUCCUACGGGAGGCAGCAGUGGGGAAUCUUGGACAAUGGGCGCAAGCCUGAUCCAGCCAUGCCGCGUGAGUGAAGAAGGCCUUCGGGUUGUAAAGCUCUUUUACCAGGGACGAUAAUGACGGUACCUGGAGAAUAAGCCCCGGCAAACUUCGUGCCAGCAGCCGCGGUAAUACA
rnacentral:rRNA from 1 species